CUUCUUGAAUUCCCCGCUAGUCCCUUACCAACAAUCCCAGAAUUCAAUGCGCAUGGUGUGUUACGGACGGGCUGGAUCGACAAAGCCGCCAAGGACUCUUCCAGUUGAAAAGAAAAGAGAAGGACGUGGUCGAGGAAAAGCCCAAGUCAAAAGUUGACCUAAGGCAGCGGUUGGACUA